rnacentral:rRNA from 1 species
AACGAACGCUGGCGGCAGGCCUAACACAUGCAAGUCGAACGCCCCGCAAGGGGAGUGGCAGACGGGUGAGUAACGCGUGGGAACCUUCCCAGUGGUACGGAAUAACUGACCGAAAGGUUGGCUAAUACCGUAUACGCCCGAAAGGGGAAAGAUUUAUCGCCAUUGGAUGGGCCCGCGUCGGAUUAGCUAGUUGGUGUGGUAAUGGCUCACCAAGGCGACGAUCCGUAGCUGGUCUGAGAGGAUGAUCAGCCACACUGGGACUGAGACACGGCCCAGACUCCUACGGGAGGCAGCAGUGGGGAAUAUUGGACAAUGGGCGCAAGCCUGAUCCAGCCAUGCCGCGUGAGUGAUGAAGGCCUUCGGAUUGUAAAACUCUUUCGCCGGGGAAGAUAAUGACGGUACCCGGAGAAGAAGCUCCGGCUAACUUCGUGCCAGCCGCCGCCGUAA